CUCUCAUACGUGAGACUUCUAAGUCCCAGGUUCAAUCCCCCAUCCCACCAUAAGCCAAAGCUGAGCAGUGCUCUAGUAAAAAAAAAGAAAGAAAGAGGGAAAAGAAAAGAGAAGAAAAGGAGGAAUAAGAAAGGCCUCUAGGAGUGUUGAUGACCCUGAGAGAGAGAGA